rnacentral:rRNA from 1 species
AGCGAACGUUUGCGGCGGGCUUAACACAUGCAAGUCGAACGAGAAUCCCUUCGGGGAGGAAAGUGGCGCACGGGUGCGUAACACGUGGAUAACCAACCCAUUGGUUUGGGACAACACCGGGAAACUGGUGCUAAUACCAGAUGUGUCGCAGCUGUCUUCAGGCGGUUGCGAGAAAGGCCCGCAAGGGUCGCCAACGGACGGGUCCGCGUCCCAUCAGCUAGUUGGUGAGGUAAUGGCUCACCAAGGCAAAGACGGGUAGCUGGUCUGAGAGGAUGAUCAGCCACACUGGAACUGAGACACGGUCCAGACUCCUACGGGAGGCAGCAGUGGGGAAUAUUGCGCAAUGGGCGAAAGCCUGACGCAGCCACGCCGCGUGAGCGAUGAAGGUCUUCGGAUCGUAAAGACUCUGUGGGGGGAGGAAGAAGAAAGCCGGUGAAGAGCCGGCCCUGACGGUAGUCCCUUACGUCAAGACACCGGCCGUAACUACCG